ensembl:lncRNA
CGGGGCUCGGGGCAGAGGGGGUAGGUAGCACGCAGGCUGCACUGGCAGAAUCCAGGGAUGGACACGGCGGCAGUGGGACAAGUAGGCUGAGGAGGGGACAGGGCCCCCAUGACGGCCCGAGUUCAAGCACUUGUGAGUGACCCAGGCGGGAGGCAUUGGCACCCCUGUGAGAGUGAAGCUGGGGUGGCCCGACUGUCCCUGGGAAAGCAGCUCCCCCCUGGGCCACCCCUCCCUGUGUGGCGGCAGGCCAGAGGAGGGGCAAAGGCAGACUGAAGGGUGCGGGGGCAGAAGGGGCUUCCACUUGCCCUGUGCGGCGCUCCCUGGACCCGGCUCCGACCCCUGGGUGUGCACCUGUCGGGCCCAGAGCCAGAAAACCUGGAGUCAGGCAGGUAGACCUCGAGACGACUGCUGUGGAGCGCAGGGGCCGGGCGCCUGGGGGCCCACGGGGCACCCCUCUCCAGGGGCCAGCUCUGCCUGAGGCUCACACUGCCCGGCGUGAUUCCGUGGCUCCCGGCUGCCCACGGUCACAUGGGGAAGGGCCUGGGGCCAGGCAGGAUGGUGGAGGCUGCACAGAACUCGAGUUUCAGCUGGAGCCUGUCUUGGUGGGAAGACAGGAUGGAACGGCACGGACUCUUCUGAAUCCUGUGCAGCCCACGCCCCCCUCCCCAUGACAGGCUGUCUCCAUCUGACUCAUUCCUCUAUUCAGCAUAUGAUAACCGAGCACCCGGAAUGUACUGUCCCCCAUUGGCUUGAGAAGGGACGAGAAAGAUGUGGGCAAGACAGCUGGAUGGCAUCGCAGACUCAGUGGACGUGAGCAGACUCCAGGAGACGGCGAAGGGCAGGGGAGCCUGGCGCGCUGCAGGCCAUGGGGUCGCAGUCGGGCAUGACUGAGGGACUGAACAAAAACAAGGCAGUCUGUGCCCCUAGGGGCUCAUAGCCUGGUAGGGAGGCAGACUCAUAAACAGACAGCCAUUCAAAAAGACAGGUGCCCAGUGGUAACAGUCCAUUUCUGCCUGGGGUAUUCAGGUCAGGCCUUGCAGAGGAAGGGGUGUAGGAGCUGGGGCUUGAUGCAUAGAUAGGAGUUUGCCAGACAUGGAGCAAAGAAGAGAUGUCCCAGCCGCUAGGAACCCGUAAGUCUCAGGGCAAGUGAGAGAGGGCCAAAGGCCAGUCCAGAGGUGGGAGGAGGUGUCUGCAAGGAGGCGCCUUGGGGCCACGUGGCCCAAGUGGCAGCAGGAGGGGGCUUGGGUUUGAGGAAGGUCACAUGGGCCAGCCGGAUGGGGGAGGCCAGCCAGCAGGAGGCGAGGCCGAGGUCAGACCAGACAGGAGCUUCCAGGCCCCCUUGCUUCCGCUCCGAGGUCCCUCUGGGCAUCCAUGCGGCCGAGGCCAGCAGAGAACACAAAGUGUCCAGGGGCCCCGCCAGACUCCCGGACCUUGUCACCUCUCAGGCUGUGCCCCUAGCAGGCUCCCUCCUGCUUGGCUCCUGCCGGCACCAGCCCCAGCUGCUCCUGCGUCUGUCUCCUCAGAGCCCCCCAAGCAGAAGCACCUUCCCACCCCACGCACCUCCCGCUGUCUCCCUCCUUCCCACCGCUUUCUUCCUGACUCUCCUCCAGGUGCCCAAGGGCAGGAGUGGAGCUGGGAGGAGAGGCUGGGCUGGCAGGGACCAGGGACACUCCGGUGGGUGCCGGGAAGGGGCAUGGGACAGGGAAGCAGGGACAGCAAGGCGCUCACGGCUGGUGGCCCCAGGCCCAGGCUGCUCCUCCUGUGGCCAGCCUGACGGGGGCCGGUGCCACGGGCCCCCCUGGUCCAAGCCCCGCGGUGCUCUGUGUUGCCUUGGGCAGAUCACUGAGCCAGCCUGGGCCUCUGUUUCCCCACCUGUAACAUAGCACCUGCCACAUACAAGCGUGAUGAAGAUUAACUGAGUCCUGGGACAGCCGGGGCCCCGAAAUGCCAGAGAUAGAAAUAAAAAAGAAGCCUGAAGAGGAGCACAGCCCCGAGCCAUGCCAGGUCCCAGCGGGUCCCCACACAGGCCAGCCGACAGAAGCCUCAUAGGAAAAGGCAGCAUUCAGGCCAAGCUGGGGAGAGGAAAAGCAAGGCGGAGGCCAGUCGGAAUCCAGAGGGCAGGAGGGCACCCACUGGCCACAGACCUUGGCCCAACAGUGAAAUGCACACGUCAGCGUCAUUGUUUCCCUCGCCAAGGAGGGACCCAGGAAAGUGUUUCGACCAGUUCAGAGGUAAAUCCAGGGAAUGCACAGAAAUGGGGGGGAAGACCAUCUGAGAUGGACUGACACAGAGACGCAGCAGGAGUCCCGUGCCAUCCCAGGACAGGGGCCCUCCGCGUGAUGGUAGUCUCCUACAAACACUGAAUCAUAAGCAGCUCCAGUUCAAGGGAAGACAGAGCCACCCGGGACAGAGGGCCACUCUCUCCAGUCCCUGCAGAGGGAGGGCGGGGCAGGGCCCUGGGCACAGGGACAUGGUAGCCAAGGCCAGGUUCUCUGAACAGCUGGCAUUUUGGAGGCAGACGUCUGGACCAGGAAGUACCCCACAGGACAGCAGGCAGAGCCCCCACAGCAGCCCUGGAGUCCAAGGCCCCGGGUGGAGGAGGCCAUGAGCAAGGGUCCCCUGUGUGGGCUGGGCCCAGAGACCCCUGCCAGGACCCAGUCUUCCAGUUGGAUCCCUCCUGUUGGACCAAGGGGUCAUCAUCCAUGCCGAAGCUACAGGCUCCCCUCCUGGCCCUCCGGGAGGAGGCCUGGGGCAAGAGGGGCCCCAGGAGAGAGGCCGACCGGGACUGUCCAUCAGAGGGCCCAGGCCAGAGGCAUGGGGUCGUAGGGUUUCCUCCCUGUGGAGGGUAGGGGCAGCCCACCUCCCAAAUGCUGCCCUUCUGCCCUUCUGUGGGGCCAGCCUCACGAGCCUCAGGACCUGAGUCUUGAACCCAGGCUCUGGGGCUGAAAUCUCAUGACAAGAGCCCCUGGAUGUUUGGGGGCCAGAAACCCCUCCCCAUGGCUGGGAGCCCCCCAGGGUGGGGAAACGGACCUCUGGGAGAGCGGAGCCCUGAGUGGGGAGGGGCCACCAGGGAGGCCAGCCAGAAUCCAGAGGGCAGGAGGGCACCCACUGGGCACCAGUCUCCCCUCCAGCCCCAAACCCCAUCAGGGUCUGGGAGGGAUGCCUCUGCUGGGCAGCGUGGAGCUGGCCUCAGGCGCUGGGAGCCAGGAGAGGGCAUGGCCUGGCUGCAGGCAGGCCCCGGGGUGAUCUCAGGUGCUCCGGAAGGGCACCACCACUGAGACUGCUCACAAGGCACCCCCACGGCCCUGAGGCCUCCCUGAGUGGCCUGCUCCUCACCCACCCCCCUCUUUGGAGGGAAGCUCAGCGCCAGUGGUGGCCCUCAUCCCGCGGGCUCUGGGCAAGGCGGACAGCACCAAGCAACGGAGACAGAGAGGGCCGAAAAUAGGACUGAAAACUUUCUAGUAAUCUCACACACAAAAAAUAAAGAGAUUGAUUCAUUUUAUUUACAUUUUAUUUAACCCAAUAUAACCAAAAUACUUGGUGUGGGGUGUAUUCCAGCCUCCAGGCAGAUGCAAUUGGGACUGCCCCUUGUCGGUGUGCAGAGCCGUGGGGGAACGUGGCUGAGGGUGGACGGGGAGGCACGUCCUUGCCCUGGCCACUGCCUGGCUCUGCAUCCUCGUCCCAACCCCACCGGCCCCGAGGCCUGCACCCUCGCCCCAUCACCUGCCUGCUGGCCCACGGUGCAGGGCGCAGGGAGGCAGGCCGCCCCCCACCGCCGGCUUCCCUCUCCCACCCACACAGCAUCGGG